GACGUACCACCCGAACGUUAUUCGGAUUCACUGGGCUUACAGAGUCCGUAGGCGGUCAAGCAAGUUAGGCGUGAAAUCCCUCAGCUCGACUGAGGAAUAGCGCUUAAAACUACUUGGCUAGAGAGAGUCAGAGGUGAGCGGAACUGAUGGUGGAGCGGUGAAAUGCGUUGAUAUCAUCAGGAACACCGGUGGCGAAAGCGGCUCACUGGGGCUUUUCUGACGCUGAGGGACGAAAGCUAGGGGAGCGAACGGG
rnacentral:rRNA from 1 species